CCUACGGGUGGCAGCAGUGAGGAAUAUUGGUCAAUGGACGCAAGUCUGAACCAGCCAUGCCGCGUGCAGGAGGACGGCUCUGUGAGUUGUAAACUGCUUUUGUACGAGGGUAAACGCAGAUACGUGUAUCGGGUUGAAAGUAUCUUACGAAUAAGGAUCGGCUAACUCCAUGCCAGCAGCCGCGGUAAUACGGAGGAUUCGAGCGUUAUCCGGAUUUAUUGGGUUUAAAGGGUGCGUAGGCGGUCGGAUAAGUUAGAGGUGAAAUGUCGGGGCUCAACCCCGGAACUGCCUCUAAUACUGUUGGACUAGAGAAUAGUUGCGGUAGGCGGAAUGUAUGGUGUAGCGGUGAAAUGCUUAGAGAUCAUACAGAACACCGAUUGCGAAGGCAGCUUACCAACCUAUAUCUGACGUUGAGGCACGAAAGCGUGGGUAGCAAACAGGAUUAGAUACCCUGGUAGUC
rnacentral:rRNA from 1 species